rnacentral:lncRNA from 1 species
AUGGCGGCGUGGGGAGCAGGCAGGAGCGUGAGGCAGACAGCCGCGUGGAGCACAGGCGUGCCUAUCAUCCACAACAGAGUGCGGGACCCAGCCAUGGCCGUAACACAGACGGCGGCGUCAGACCCACAAAUGGAAAUGAAGCAAACAGUAGCAUGGGACCGUGGCGUGGAAGCAGACGACCGUGUGGUCCAGCACCCCGGCCUGGAAACUUCCUGGAUGGAAGGCAUCCCGUGCGGCCUGUCCCAAGAAGGGGCGGGCUUGGUCAUCAGCCACUCCGGGCUGUGCGCAGUCCUUCCUGGCAUCCAUACAGCGACUGCAGGCCCCGGCCCUACCGUUGGCGCAACAGCGGCGUGGGGCGAAGGCAGCAGGUUCAGGCAGACAGCCGCAGGGAGCACAGGCGUGCCUAUCAUCCGUACCACAGCGUGGAACCCAUCCAGGGCCAUAAACCAGAUGGCAACUUUGGACCCACGCACAGAAAUCAACCUGACAGUGGACAUAGGCGUGGAACUGGACAACCCCGUGGUUCGGCACUCUGGCCUGGAAACCUUACGGACGGAAGGCAUCCUGUUUGGGCAGUCCCGGGCAAGGACUGGCUUAGCCUUCUGCCCAACACCGAGGAGCCCAUGGAGGUGGAUCCACCAGCAGACGUGGAGGAACCGAUGGAAGUGGAUCCACCUCAGCCAGAACAGACCUGAGAGUACCGCGGCGCGUCUUUGCUCUCUGCUAUCUGAGCACAAAAACAGCGUCGCAGGAGUGCCCGGCCAGCCCCCUACUCAUCAUCGCACAGGCUCCAUCCCAAGCAUUAGCUUGGAGCCCCCAAACACCAUGGACAUCCCGCAGGCUUGCCUGCAAGAUGUCCCGGCAAUAAACCACUCUGUUGCCAAUUCUCAGGGGUUUGAGUGCUUCUUUCCCAUCCCCCAGCCCUUGUGCCAGAGGUGGCAUCCCUUCUGCACAGAGCCUCGAGGAAGAGCACAAGAGAGGACUUCGGACUGCUGCACUGGGGUGACAGGAGGAGUCUGUGAGGGCCACCAUGCACCUCUAACAUUUGUGCAAAUAGUAGACUGA